AUGACCGAACGUAGCAGACUAACUGUAUAAUAUUGCAAUUGUAAGAUGUUCUUGCUAAGCCUAGACUAGCUGUUAAACUGCAUAUUAGGUUAGCAUAUUAGCUGGCAAGCUAACUGUGUUGAUUACUGAUAGAUAAUCAUAGCUGGAGAAUUUCGUCUGCAAACACACACGAAAUACUCAGAUACCAGAUACUCUGGCUAAUGUACGGUCAGUCGCCAAACAUAAUUAAAUUGAAGUUGGCGGUCCUAGCAGCUAUGCUACUGAGCUACAAAGAGUCUGAAAUAUUACGCUACAUGGGAAAAGGUAGCAGACUAUCUGUAGAACAUUGUAAUUGUAAAAGUGUUGCUUUUAUGAAAUUGACUGUUUUCCUCGGAUACAAAAUUAAUUGUAUGAAUACUAUGUGUAUCUUUCUUAGAGUACAUCACAGCAGGAACACAAUACCCACCGCUCCAGUACAGUCGGAUGUCAAACAGACCGUCCACAGACUGUUUGUGUGGGAACUCAGAGGGUUGAGACACGGUCUGUGGGAACACAGACAGUGGAAUGUAAAGUGUCCGCCAUUUCUGUUGCUACACAGUUGGCCCGGGGAACACUGAAAUCGGCCCACGUGAGAAGCAAAGGCAUCCAGGCCACGGUGUCUUUCAAAAGUGUUGGCACUAAAACUUCCACCUACACAGAAAUCCCCUUGUCCUCUACACCAAUAAAGGGCCCAGGAUUGGGACCUAGCAAGAGACCUCGACUAGAGUUGGAGCAGGAACAAGGAGAGACUUCGAUUGAAUUUGAAGAGACUCUGGAUUCGAGUUACCACCCUGAUGAUACUGUAGAAGAAUCUGACGUAUCACUUCAGACACGAUCCACGCACAGUGACGCAAAGUACAUUGUGUUUGAAAGCUGCCUCGGACAGCUGUUUGAAAAAUUUCCGUUUUGUAAGAUGGACUGUGAUGUCCAAAAACGAAAAAUUUGACUUUUGUGGCGUUCAAACAGCGUUGUCCAAACUGCACUUACUUCAGACAAUGGGAGAGCCAGCCCAUCAUUGGAAGUACCCCGGUUGGCAACUUACAAUUAUCUGCUGCUACAUACUUCACUGGUGCUUCCUUCUUCCAACUAAAAAAGAUAUGCAGAGCCAUGCAGCUGGAGAUCUUCCAGUAUGAGACCUUCAGGAGGCAUGCUAGGCAUUAGCUGGAGCCUGCUAUUAUCCACAAGUGGAAAACUGAUCAGCUGAAGAUUUUCCAGCAACUACACCACCAGGGGGGAAAGGUCACAGUUGCAGGAGAUAUGAGAGCAGACUCUCCAGGCCACUCAGCUAAGUUUGGGAGCUACACACUAAUGCACCUGGGAAGCAACACCAUUGUGGACUUCCAGCUUGUUCAGUGUACGUGGGUGAGCUGAUGAGGCUGGUGUUUGAAGAAGUCUUUGAGGACCCAACACCCUUUGUGGAGGAGAUGAAUAAAAUCAACAUCAAUCCACUCAAUUUGACAGGCCCUCAAAGGAGGAAGUGGUAGCCCGCCAUGUCUCACGUUUUAGUCUAGGGGCGGUCGGAAGCCCACGUACUGUCCAGCCAGAUCAGGGAACUCCUGGCGUAUCCGGCGGACCACACACGACGGGAUGACCACUGUGAUUCCUCGUCCCAAAAAGCCCCAGCACCAGCUUACGAAGCUGCGAUAGGCCAGAUGCCUAAAACGCCUAUAAGAGGAGGAAUGGAUGAUAACAUAUAUGUGCUGUCCUGUUUUUCACCCUUACCCUCUGGCUGCUUGAACAACUGAAUUUCCCCACAGGGAUUAAUAAAGGUCCAUCUUAUCUCAUACAGUGAUCAUGUGUAUAUAUAACACAUGAUCAAUUUGUACAUUUAUCAAAAUAAAGUUUGAUGGAACUACUUGAUAGCCUUUCUUCCCUGAAUUAUUUGCUCCUAGAUCAUUCAUAUAUAGCAAACCAUUAUUUGAUUUUUCAUUUAUUUUUAUUUUAUUUUAGUUUAUUAUAGCUAAAAAUAACUUACUCUUCUUCAGUUCUACGCCUCAAAGGUCCAUAAUCAAACCGAUAAAUAUUGUGGAGAUUCUGCAGGGUGUAGGGAUUGAGGCAGUUUGGUUCUAGUCCGGGGUGGUCAACCAUGCACACAAUGGGUUCUGGGACUUGGUGCAUUCGUGUUAAAACCUAUAGGAGGAUAAGAUAUUUGUAACAUAAUACGUUUAGCAAUUAAAUCCAACUAUGGCGAGGAUUACAAAAUAAACAUUCAAUUACUAUAGAAUAAAUAAAAGGGCAUAUAGUCUAUUGACUUGACAAGUAUGUAUGGUGUAUAUAAUGUUGUGUGCUACUGUUGGUGUUUUUGUAUUUGUUGUGGUGACACCCUGUUUUGACCAUAAUUCACCUUUGGUAUAGUGUUGCCACACGGACCCUUUAGUGUGUGUGCUCUUAGGUUUAGCUUGUCAUUCCUAGCUUGUCAGACAGCAGACAUGUAUUUUACCUGAUUCUAAACACACCGCCCCCGACUCCCUUUCAUCGGCACUACACUGUCACCUUUCUAAUCUCCCUGCAACAGAGGUUUUCCACCUCGGUAGGCAUUACUGCGCAGUUUCCACACGUGCACCUAAAUAACAGUUGGAAAGUUUGGUUAGUCAGCGGACACACUUGUUACUGUGAUGUAGAUAAAUGAUGAAGUUCUAACAUUACAUCUGAAAUGUAGCAGCUAUACAAAAUUAAAACGUUCCACUGUGAAA